rnacentral:tRNA from 1 species
GGGGUUAGAGCUCAGCGGUACGGCGCUUGCUUAGCCUGCGUGAGAUCCUGGGUUCAAUCCCCAGUACCUCUG